UACGUAGGGUGCGAGCGUUGUCCGGAAUUACUGGGCGUAAAGAGCUCGUAGGUGGUUUGUCGCGUUUGUCCGUGAAAACUCACAGCUUAACUGUGGGCGUGCGGGCGAUACGGGCAGACUGGAGUACUGCAGGGGAGACUGGAAUUCCUGGUGUAGCGGUGGAAUGCGCCAGAGUAUCAGGAGGAACACCGGUGGCGAAGGCGGGUCUCUGGGCAGUAACUGACGCUGGAGGAGCGAAAGCGUGGGGAGCGAACAGG
rnacentral:rRNA from 1 species